AUUGAACGCUGGCGACAGGCCUAACACAUGCAAGUCGAACGAGUGGCGGACGGGUGAGUAAUGUCUGGGAAACUGCCUGAGGGAGGGGGAUAACUUGUGGAAACGGUAGCUAAUACCGCAUACUCUCGGAUGUGCCCAGAUGGGAUUAGCUAGUAGGUGGGGUAACGGCACACCUAGGCGACGAUCCCUAGCUGGUCUGAGAGGAUGAUCAGUCACACUGGAACUGAGACACGGUCCAGACUCCUACGGGAGGCAGCAGUGGGGAAUAGUGGACAAUGGGCGAAAGCCUGAUCCAGCCAUGCCGCGUGUGUGAAGAAGGUCUUCGGAUUGUAAAGCACUUUAAGUUGGGAGGCGUUACCAACAGAAUAAGCACCGGCUAACUCCGUGCCAGCAGCCGCGGUAAUUC
rnacentral:rRNA from 1 species